rnacentral:rRNA from 1 species
UACGUAGGGCGCAAGCGUUGUCCGGAAUUAUUGGGCGUAAAGAGCUCGUAGGCGGCUUGUCGCGUCUGUUUGUGAAAGCCCCGGGGCUUAACCCGGGUCUGCAGUGGAUACGGGGCAGGCUAGGAGGCAGGUAGGGGAGAACGGGAAUUCCUGGUGUAGCGGUGAAAUGCGCAGAUAUCAGGAGGAACACCGGUGGCGAAGGCGGUUCUCUGGGCAUUACCUGACGCUGAGGAGCGAAAGUGUGGGGAGCGAACAGG